rnacentral:rRNA from 1 species
GACGAACGCUGGCGGCGUGCCUAAUACAUGCAAGUAGAACGCUGAAGAGAGGAGCUUGCUCUUCUUGGGUGAGUUGCGAACGGGUGAGUAACGCGUAGGUAACCUGCCUGGUAGCGGGGGAUAACUAUUGGAAACGAUAGCUAAUCCCGCAUAAAAUGGAUUAUCGCAUGAUAGUCCAUUGAAAGGUGCAAAUGCAUCACUACCAGAUGGACCUUCGUUGUAUUAGCUAGUUGGUGGGGUAACGGCUCACCAAGGCGUCGUUACAUAGCCGACCUGAGAGGGUGAGCGGCCACACUGGGACGGAGACACGGCACAGAGUGCUACGGGAGGCAGCAGGAGGGAAUCGGCGGCAAGGGACGGAAGUCUGACCGAGCAACGCCGCGUGAGGGAAGAAGGUUUUCGGAUCGUAAAGGUCUGUUGUAAGAGAAGAACGAGUGUGAGAGUGGAAAGUUCACACUGUGACGGUAUCUUACCAGAAAGGGACGGCUAACUACGUG